rnacentral:tmRNA from 1 species
GGGGGUGCCAUGGUUUCGACAGGGGUUGCAAAGCGGAUGGGGGCAUGCCGGGUUCUCAGACUACCCGUAAAACACUGAACCAAAAUAGUCGCAAACGACGAAACUUACGCUCUAGCUGCUUAAGCUAGACUCUACACCGCAGGGCCCAUCGGGCGGGCUGGGUCAAACCAGCAGUAGAGUCAUUUAGAUGGGAUCGCCUCAGGUCGGGUUACUUGGCCGGGGGUUAAACUUAAGGUAACUCGCACUGUUCAAGCCUGUCGGUCGGCGUGACUCAGUGUUAAAUCCAAAUGGCUAGACUAAGCAUGUAGAACUCACUGUAGAGUGCUUCUGGACGGGGGUUCAACUCCCCCCACCUCCACCA